AUGGAUUCAAGGUUGCUGGAAAAGAAAAUUGGGUUUGCAAAUCCACCAAAGUGGUGACGACGAUCAAAUUUGAUCAUUAUCUAAACUUGAUCAAUAUCCUACAAGUUUGAAAGCAAUCAGAGAAGGUAGAGACUCGAUGAUGGUUUUUUGAUAGCCGACUCAAAUUUAAAAAUUUUCGCCAAGGUAGAAAAUUGUAAAAAAAAUAAAAAAUAAAAAAUAUGGUGAACAGUAACCUGGUUUGCAC
rnacentral:lncRNA from 1 species